ACCUCUGUACUUUCAACUUGAACACGUUCAAAUAAGGAGCGAAGGUCGAGAAGGUACUCUCUAUGCGACAUGAAUAAAGUGCCUUUGCGUUGUGCCGGGACUUUGAAAAAUAUCAGAUCUGUUCAAAGGUUAUACAACAGGCCUGAAACAUCUUUUAUUAAGAGACAAACUGCAAAUGGUAUGGCAACCAAAACUGGAGAUGACGAGAAUGAUAGCAAAUUGGUCUGUGAAGCUAGUUUGCCAAACAACUCAUGGUCAGACAAGACAAAGAAACUUUAUAAUGAACUUGUGGAUUUAUGUAAAGAUGGCAAAUGGGAAAAAAUAACCUCAUUUAAGAAUUUCACUUCUGAUGCUCGGCUCUAUACAAGAUGUGUGGCAGAGGAAGGAAAGUUGUUUGAGUAUGCUAUGUUUUUUAAUAGGGAAGAGCAAAAGUUGAGGGCAGUAGUGCAGUUUGGACCAUGGUUACAAGGACCUAAAGGAGCAGUCCAUGGUGGUGCCAUUGCAACAAUCUUUGAUUCAGCUGGUGGAGUUUUAGCAUAUCAGUUAGGAUAUAGAUGUGUCACUGUCAACCUUAAUGUAAACUUUCAUGGCUUUUUGCCUUUACACUCGACAGCAGAAUGCAUAGCUUGGAUAACAAAAAAGGAGGGAAGGAAGAUCUUUAUAAAGGCUGAAAUGAGGAACAUUGACGAUGGAACCCUGUACGAUUCAUUUACUGCUUUGUUUCUAGAAGUCAGAGAAACUUCGAAGGUUUAGAUAAUAGAAGUUUUAUCGAAUUUAAAAAAGAAAAGAAAGCCGUUUGUAAUUUCAAAGGAAGAUUGUAGCGUGAAAGGAGAAAAUUGUCUCUCAAGUUUGAUUCCUUAUCAUAUGCCCUUGGGUUUUUUGCAAUAAAUUUCAGUCUAUGCUAAUAAGCAUUUAGAUAUCAAGAGUUUUUUAUUUGUGGCCCGUGAAGUUUUUAUUUGUGGCCCAUUAAGUUUUGAUUUAUGGCCCAUGAAGUUUUUAUUUGUGGCCCAUGAAGUUUUCAUUUGUGGCCCGUGAAGUUUUUAUUUAAGGCCCGUGAAGUUUUUAUUUGUGGCCCAUGAAGUUUUUAUUUAUGGCCCAUGAAGUUUUUAUUUGUGGCCCGCUAGGUUUUAUUUUUGACACGUGGGUCCCUUAUUUAUGGCCUGGUGAUUCCUAUCUGUGACCCGCAAUAUUUUUAUUUGUGGCCCGUGAAGUUUUUAUUUGUGGCCCAUGAAGUUUUUAUUUAUGGCCCAUGAAGUUUUUAUUUGUGGCCCGCUAGGUUUUAUUUUUGACACGUGGGUCCCUUAUUUAUGGCCUGGUGAUUCCUAUCUGUGACCCGCAAUAUUUUUAUUUGUGGCCCGUGAAGUUUUUAUUUGUGGCCCAUGAAGUUUUUAUUUAUGGCCCAUGAAGUUUUUAUUUGUGGCCCGCUAGGUUUUCAUUUUUGACCCGUGGGUCCCUUAUUUAUGGCCUGGUGAUUCCUAUCUGUGACCUGCAAUAUUUUUAUUUGUGGCCAAUGAGGUUUUAAUUUGUAGUCCAUAAUAUUCUUUUUCUGUGACCAGUAAUAUUCUUGUCUGUGGCCCAUGGGAUUCCUAUUCGUGGCCCAUCUGUCAAAUUGUGAGGUUGAGUAAAACGCUUAAAGCAGCAAGUCGAGUUAGCAAGGGUUGGCCCUUUUUCAUGGAAAGCGAUUUCUGACAUAUUACAUCGAAGUCUUGCAUUCAAAGCUCAUAUAAUUUCGUCCAUUAUAUUUCCAUGCUGUUAGAUUGCUUUUCUUUCCUUAAAAAUAAAUGCAUUUUGUAGCAAGUCUUGGUGGUAGCAAUUUGUAAUAAGUCAGCUACAAUUUGUGUAACUAAUGCAAGCAUAGUUUGUUUCAAAGAAGCUUGACUUUUUAAAUUCCAUUUUACUGUAUUUCAAUCCAGAAUUAUAUGUAAAUUACUAAUGAACUGCUUUGAAAAUUGG